GUACAGAGGUCAUUUCAAGAAAGAAGAGACACCAAACACAACAUAAAGGGACUUUUCAUGUCUGGAGAUACUAGAAUUUCAGGUUUUAUUGCUGCGAGUUCUAUUAAAAGACUUUGUGGAACCUAGGAGGAAAUCAAAAUUAUCUUUCAAAAGGCGAUAAGUUAUAUAAAUAUGUGCACAAACAGAAAUGUGUCUCUGAAGGUAUUAGUUCUGCAUAAUUUCAGAUGAGUAGCUACUAGGCCUCAAAGGAAACAGCGCAUCUUGAAAUGCUCUGAAGGCUUACACUGGCCAAAAGAAGGCAGGACUUUAGCGAAAUUAGAAGUAACUUUGUAGCCAACGAUGUGCUGUAUGUCCUGGUUCCCUUUAAUAGCAUUAGGCGUUCAGACCAUAAAGACUAAUCUGGAGAGUAGAAGUUCCUGCUCUCUGCUUUGAUCUCCUUCCUCUUGGCUGUUUAAAGCUGACAGUUUGGCUGAAUGGCAUUCACCGCUUUCAUUUGUAAGACACGAGUUUCCUAGUGUUCCAGAGCUAGCAGCUACACCUGUACCGCAGGAAUUUACAUCGCAUUGCUCCAGGAUGGCAUUGAUUUGGGACGGGCGAAAUACAAACACAAACUAAUUAAAACCUGCAUAAUGCGGCCCUACAGGAACAAGACAGAAAAACAAAUAAAUACAACUGCAGCUGGCAGGGCAAUUGUGCCUCUGCCCUCGAGCAACAGUCUGGUGACAUCAAAUUACAAACCUUAAAAAUCUCCCGUAAUUGCAGUUGAUCAUUUCGGAGACAAAAUGGAAAUUGUGCUGUUAAUUAAGUUCGGAUCCGUAAAAUAUUCAUGAUAGGUGGGCAGACGGACGGACAGGCAGAUAGCGAGAGGUGGAUGAUUCAUCCUAUAGGUUUGUCGGCUUGUUUAUACAGGCCCGUGUGCAGAGCUCAAACAAUUCAUAUGCAAAAGCGCUAAGGAAGAGCUCCGCGUUCCCCUUGCUAUCAGAAAUAAAUACGUGUUGCAACUGAUAAAGGACUAAUCAGAACACACUGCCGGGAUACUGGGAAAAAAAGAACAGUUUUUCUUAGUUUGCUAAAAUAUAUAGAUAGAGAGAGAAAUGACCGUAAUAUUUGUAAUGCCCUCUUUGUCUGAAUAACACCGUCUUUGUAAACGCUUUAUCAGCUGUUACCCCGAGUGCAGUCAAACGUUUCGGACUUCGAUCCCUCCCUGCACUACCCAUACCUACGUGCUCGCUUUUAGGGAAUCCACCAGAUUCCCUCCUGCGCGUUCUUUCCACGGGAAAGAAAAUUGACACUGUCCAAUAACCGAAGUGAUCAUCUGAAAUCUCUUCGUCUGCUACCGGUGCGAGCUCAAAACCCAGAGAGGAUUUGCAGGAGAACUCGUUGCCAGGAUGUUUCAAAGAAUUAAAGGAAAACUUUUUUUCUUCCCCAGCCCUAAACCAGGCGCUGUAGCGCUUAAGCUUCCCUUUCUUUUGGGUCGAUCUUUAUGAGGAGCGCCGCUUUUUGCUCGCAGCUCCGUGCGCACGUGUAUCCCUAUGCAGAUACAGCGCAAAAUGCGUGGAAAUAACGCGGCUGAAGCCUAGCUUAAUAGAUAUCUCAGCUCCAUUCUCAAAUUGUGCUCUGCUCAGUAUCUUAUCCUCCCCGUAGUUAGGUGUCUCCUUUCAACGUCUCUGUCAUCUCCAUUUGAAGAUAUUUUCAGCGGUUUAUCACUGCCAUCUCCAGCCCUGCACAUUUGCAGCAGGUUAUCACAAUUGCCAGUCCCCUCUGGCUGAUGUGUUGUGCUGAUUACCAUCAGUGCCCUGAGAUAUUUGGUGCGGAUUCCCAGCACUGCAAUAUCCACUCUUAGGACAUCUGGAGCAGAUCAAAAUCACUGACUUCAUUUUUUUAGUAGAGUCAGUGUUCGAGCUCCGCAGCCCCUUUGCAGACAUCGCCUUCAGUCAGUUCCUGCAGAACCAGCCUUUGGUUAAAAUUCGGCCAAGCAGCGACCCCUAUGUCUGGAUUUGCAUUUCUUAUCGGACCCCUAUCUCAACUGAUUUGUUCAUAAUAAAAAGAAAAUCUCUUGGCAGCAGAUGCAUCGCCUUAAGAAACUGGAAGGAGCCCACUGUCUUAGCUAACCGCUUCUCGAGAAAGGCUCUUUAAGGAGAACUUUAUCUACCCGAUGAUCUCUGAAUUAUACGAGCGUGGCCAUUUAGGUCGAUUUACUUUAAACAGUAUACAAUUUAUUUUAAGCGAUUACCUCAGGUGUAAUCACAUUACACCCAGCGCCGCUAUCUAUUUCUCUCCCGCUUGUUUUCAGACGGGCGCCCGCUCUCCAGCGGAAAGGUGACAGUGUCCCACUCUGAUCCCAGUUCCUCCUUCGCUACGGGACUCCUCGGUGCUAAUGAGUUGGAACCGCGCUCCUUUUCCUUAGGAUCUGCCGAAAGUUAAGGAGACAUUGGAGCAACUAAAACACGGGGCUCAGGAAAAAGAAAAAUAAUAAUAAUUAGAAGGAAGAAACUGCAUAUAUAUCUAUAACCCGAAUUAUGUUUAAAAUCACAGUAUUCCAUCUCUUGAAAAUUUCAAGCAAAUUUAUGGGGAGAGGAGUGAUCACACCAACCUUCUGGACUGUUUAGCUUUAGGGAAAGGUUUUCCCCAUGCUUCCGGCAGCAGCUGAUGUUGUUUUCAGUUUCCCAUACAGUUUAGUUCUUUGCGCACUUUUCUGAUUAAGCUCCAGCUAUUGGUCCUGUAUGGGGAGGAGGGGGGAAGAAAGGGGAAGGGGGGGAUAAACCCAGGAUCUACAGACCUUCGCUAAACUGAUUUUCAACCUAAGUAGCUUAGUGCAGCGGCUCUAGUCCCUGCUUACUUGCACAAGGGGGAAAAAAAUUAAAAAGGCUUCGAAAGGUUUCCUGAUAAAGUGAUUUAAUAACCCGUCAGGAAAACGGGCACUGUCCAAUACAGGAGCGGGAGCUGCGCGCUGAGGGAUUCGCCUUUACUGAGCACAGCGUAAUGAAUGGCGCUCGCAGGACCCCGCUCGUUACCCCGCGCCGGGAACUUUGCAAAUGAGGAACAAAGGUCUCCUCCCAGCCCUGCAACUUUUCCCCUCCUCGGCGGGUUCCCUUUCUUUUUCUUUCUUAAUUUCAUCAUUCCUAUUUUGUCCUCUUUCUUUCUUUCUUUUCUUUUUCUUUUUUUCUUUUUCUUUCUUUUUUUCAUCUUUCCAAAACCACUGCUCUAGGUAUCCCGCACUUUCUUUACUUGCUCUGUUUCCAGGUGAAGAAUAGCAGUGUUCGCCCCAAAAGAUUUUGGGCUGAUAGAAAAGCAAGCGAUACUUUUUUUUUUUUUUUUUUUUCCUUUUCCUUUUGAGCAGGAUGGGGGCGGAUGGGGGAGGGGAUGACUCACAUUUCUUAAGCCUCGGAGUGGAAACCUUCUCUGGAUUCCACCCAGAUCUAAAGCGCUAAGAAGAUUUCGGCAGCGGCAGUGCAUUCUCCCACCUUCCUUUACCUGCAGCCCUUGUAACGCGACUCUGCCAGCCGCCAAACCUCGCUACAGUUCCCAAGAACCACUCAGCUUUGUCUGAGGGUCGCUCUCCUGCUCUGAGGGGCGGCCGAGCCCCUCGGUCCCUCCUCGAGG
ensembl:lncRNA